GUUUGAUCAUGGCUCAGAUUGAACGCUGGCGGCAGGCCUAACACAUGCAAGUCGAGCGGUUGAGGUAGCUUGCUACCGAUGCAGCGGCGAACGGGUGAGUAAUACAUGGGAAUCUGCCUGGUAGUGGGGGACAACGUUUCGAAAGGAACGCUAAUACCGCAUACGCCCUACGGGGGAAAGGGGGGGAUCUUCGGACCUCUCGCUAUCAGAUGAGCCCAUGUCGGAUUAGCUAGUUGGUGGGGUAAAGGCUCACCAAGGCGACGAUCCGUAACUGGUCUGAGAGGAUGAUCAGUCACACUGGAACUGAGACACGGUCCAGACUCCUACGGGAGGCAGCAGUGGGGAAUAUUGGACAAUGGGCGCAAGCCUGAUCCAGCCAUGCCGCGUGUGUGAAGAAGGCCUUAGGGUUGUAAAGCACUUUCAGUGGGGAGAAAGGUAAUUCACUUAAUACGUGAGUUAAUUGAUGUUACCCACAGAAGAAGCACCGGCUAACUCCGUGCCAGCAGCCGCGGU
rnacentral:rRNA from 1 species